AACGAACGCUGGCGGCAUGCCUAACACAUGCAAGUCGAACGCCCGUAGCAAUACGGGAGUGGCAGACGGGUGCAUAACACGUGGGAACCUACCCUUGGGUUCGGAAUAACCGCGGGAAACUGCGGCUAAUACCGGAUACGUCCUCUGGGAGAAAGAUUCAUCGCCCUUGGAGGGGCCCGCGUCGGAUUAGCUAGUUGGUGAGGUAACGGCUCACCAAGGCGACGAUCCGUAGCUGAUCUGAGAGGAUGAUCAGCCACACUGGAACUGAGACACGGUCCAGACUCCUACGGGAGGCAGCAGUGGGGAAUAUUGGACAAUGGGCGCAAGCCUGAUCCAGCAAUGCCGCGUGGGUGAUGAAGGCCUUCGGGUUGUAAAGCCCUUUUGGCAGGGACGAUGAUGACGGUACCUGCAGAAUAAGCCCCGGCUAACUUCGUGCCAGCCGCCGCAGUAACAC
rnacentral:rRNA from 1 species